rnacentral:sRNA from 1 species
UGUACCGAUUGACUGGGAAACUCAUCAAUUAUUAUCGAAAACCGAGUCAGCUUCGUAUUGUCCAAUGGCGGGCCACGCCUUCGGGUAGCUUUAGAGAGCCGGUGGAUUACAAAGGACAGGAGCCCUCAAAUCUUGUAUUCUCGGAGUUUCGUCGUUCUCUUCUGUGCAGC